rfam:Nelumbo nucifera unplaced genomic scaffold scaffold00044, whole genome shotgun sequence
UAGUUACUGUGAUGUUGGCCCGGUUCAUUCAGACAAACAUCUCGCCCGCCUUCAGAGGUGCAGUUUUGAUUGAGCCGUGCCAAUAUCUCAGUACUCUUU